GCACGGGGGGCCUACGGGAGGCAGCAGUGGGGAAUAUUGCACAAUGGGCGCAAGCCUGAUGCAGCCAUGCCGCGUGUGUGAAGAAGGCUCUAGGGUUGUAAAGCACUUUCAGUCGGGAGGAAAGGUUAGUAGUUAAUACCUGCUAGCUGUGACGUUACCGACAGAAGAAGCACCGGCUAACUCCGUGCCAGCAGCCGCGGUAAUACGGAGGGUGCAAGCGUUAAUCGGAAUUACUGGGCGUAAAGCGUACGUAGGUGGUUUGUUAAGUUGGAUGUGAAAGCCCAGGGCUCAACCUUGGAACUGCAUUCAAAACUGACGAACUAGAGUAUGGUAGAGGUAAGUGGAAUUUCCUGUGUAGCGGUGAAAUGCGUAGAGAUGGGAAGGAACAUCAGUGGCGAAGGCGACUUACUGGACCAAUACUGACACUGAGGUACGAAAGCGUGGGUAGCAAACAGGAUUAGAUACCCUGGUAGUCCACGCCGUAAACGAUGUAUACUAGCCGUUGGGAUCCUUGAGAUCUUAGUGGCGCAGCUAACGCACUAAGUAGA
rnacentral:rRNA from 1 species